rnacentral:rRNA from 1 species
GAUGAACGCUGGCGGCGUGCUUAACACAUGCAAGUCGAACGAUGAAGCCCAGCUUGCUGGGUGGAUUAGUGGCGAACGGGUGAGUAACACGUGAGUAACCUGCCCUUAACUCUGGGAUAAGCCUGGGAAACUGGGUCUAAUACCGGAUAGGAGCGUCCACCGCAUGGUGGGUGUUGGAAAGAUUUAUCGGUUUUGGAUGGACUCGCGGCCUAUCAGCUUGUUGGUGAGGUAAUGGCUCACCAAGGCGACGACGGGUAGCCGGCCUGAGAGGGUGACCGGCCACACUGGGACUGAGACACGGCCCAGACUCCUACGGGAGGCAGCAGUGGGGAAUGUUGCACAAUGGGCGCAAGCCUGAUGCAGCGACGCCGCGUGAGGGAUGACGGCCUUCGGGUUGUAAACCUCUUUCAGUAGGGAAGAAGCGAAAGUGACGGUACCGGCAGAAGAAGCACCGGCUAACUACGU